GAAAGACAAAGGCAAGUGUGCACUUCGAACCGUGUCAGGGUCGGAAGGCAGCAGCACUAAGGAGAUCGUAUACUGUGCCUUAAUGUAGAAUUUA
rfam:Weissella kandleri strain DSM 20593 Scaffold4, whole genome shotgun sequence.